GACAGAGGAUGCAAGCGUUAUCCGGAAUGAUUGGGCGUAAAGCGUCUGUAGGUGGCUUUUAAGUCCGCCGUCAAAUCCAGGGCUCAACCCUGGACAGGCGGUGGAAACUACCAAGCUGGAGUACGGUAGGGCAGAGGAAUUUCCGGUGGAGCGGUGAAAGUGCGUGAGAGAGUCGGAAAAGAACACCAACGGCGAAAGCACUCUGCUGGGCCGACACUGACACUGAGAGACGAAAGCUAGGGGAGCGAAUGGG
rnacentral:rRNA from 1 species